UCUUCCUUACUGUUAUAAGAAUCAAGACUUCUCUCUCUCUCUUUCUUCAUUCUACUCCCUCCUCCCCCUAAACUCUUUCAUUUUUUUUAUUCUCAAAAGUGUUGAGCAUUAAGUGGGCAAGGAAGCUUCAAAGCUCUAGAGUUGGAUUUUUAUUUUCACUUCUCAUAUUCUCCUUCUUCCUCGAACAACCUGGAUUCAACGUUCUUCCUUCUCGAGAUCUUGUAGGUGAGCUUGGGAUGGAUUAGAGAGACUUGAAAACCCCAAAAUCACGAGCAACAGAGAUAGUAUCUGUCACGGAUCCAUUGAGCGAUUUUGAAAUGACUGAACAAAAUUGGGGAUGACAAUCAAAGUUGGAAUUGCAAUGAUCGUGAUUCUUCAUGAGAGCAAGACAAGAUUAGGAGGAUGACUUGUGUAAUCAGUGGUGAGUCAGGUUGGUGGUGGCUCUAUUUUAUUAAUGGCUAUUCUAAUGUAGUCAAGUUGUGUACAGGUGCUUAACCGACAACGUAGGCUUUAUUUUGUAUAUGAUGAUGUAUUUAUAUAGUGUACCAAUAUUUGUACAGGGUAUGUACAUAACCCAUGAGGAUUUUUAUUUUCAAUAAUUCAUCCUUCUACUCUAGACAAAUAUGUCUUACAUGUUGCU